GCCGCCCGGUGCGCGGUCACGUGAUCCGCCGGUGCGGCAGGCGCGGGCGCGGCGGGGAUGUCCCGCAAACAGGCGGGCAAGGCCCGGCCCGCCGCCGCUGCCGCCAGGAAGGGCCGGCGGCCCCGGCAUUCCCCCGCCGCACCGGCCCCGCGCCCCGCGCCGGGCGACAGCGGCGGCCUCGCCGGGCAGCUCCGGGCCCUCGGCCUCAAGCUGCGGGAGGUGCCGGGAGAUGGCAACUGCUUGUUCCGGGCGCUGGGGGACCAGCUGGAGGGGCACUCCCGGAACCACCUGCGCCACCGCCAGGAGACCGUGCAGUUCAUGGUGAGGCAGCGCGGCGACUUCGAGCCCUUCGUGGAGGACGAUGUGCCCUUUGACAAACACGUUGCCAAUUUGGCCAAGCCUGGUACUUUUGCUGGCAACGAUGCUAUUGUGGCCUUUGCAAGGAACAAUCAAAUAAAUGUGGUUAUUCAUCAGCUCAACACUCCACUGUGGCAGAUCCGGGGCACAGACAGGAGCGGUGCCAGGGAGCUGCACGUCGCCUACAGGCACGGCGAGCACUACGACAGCGUCAGGAGGCUCAGCGAUGACUCGGAGGCUCCAGCCUACCUUCGGAUGGAGAUGCUUUGCAAGAAUGAUUCGAAUAAGGCAGAGGAAGUGAAGCCACAGAAGGGUGACUCUGAAGAGGAGACUGAGGUGGAGAUGGAAGAUGCUGUACAAAAAGUGUGCAGUGCAACUGGGUGUUCAGACAUGGAUUUAGUAAGCCACAUUCUUGAGGUGGAGGACUACAACGUGGAAUCUGCAAUAUUUGCCAUCUUGCAGGUGAAGGAAGGGGAAGGAAUAGGUACUGAAGAGCAGCAGGAGCCCCCAGGCAGGGAGCAGAACCCCUGCAGCAGGGCACUGUGGGAAGAGAACGGAACUGGCUCAAGAAUCUUUGGAAAUCAGAGCUUGCAUCAAGGUGAAGCAGAGAACAACACGGGACAAGCUGGAUCCAAGGAAGAGAACCGAGCCAGCAGAAACCCAAAGGUGGCCAAGAAGCAAAGGAAGGAGCAGCAGCGGCUGGAGAAGAAGAAGCGGCAGGAGGAGAGGCACCGGCAGAAGGUCCUGGCCACCAAGAGGGACAGUGCAGACACCAGGACAGAGACAGACCCGGCCAGCCAUGUCACCCUGGUCAAAGCCAUGGCAGCCCUAAACAUAUGACUCAGUGCUCUGAUGAGAAAAGCAAAUAAAACUGAUGAAGACAGAAUUCCCCCAGGAGAAUUUCCAGGCACCCAUGUUUAUCUUAAAAUCCAUCUCUGCUGGGAUUUCCAAACACAAAAGAACUUCCUCUUCCUUUGCUUGUGGGGAGGACAGUUGCUCAUUGAUUCUGCAUCAACCUGUGGUGAAAAGAGUUGUUUAAACUUAACAGGAAGUAGAGACUUAUGUCUAUAAUCUUGGAGUUACGAGAAGCCAGAGCUGAUAAGACAUUCGUUGUUGCCUGGAGCCUGAGAGCUGUGACGGGAGUUGGUCUGGAGGCCGAGGAGGGGACCCAAACCUCACCCCAUCGUGUGCAGCAUGAAAGGGGGGUCUGCAGCAGCAGCACCAACAGCAGAGGGAGAGACUGGCCCACAGCUCAUGGCCUCUGAUACCUGAACAAAAUCUGGGGCUGAAAAUGCUUUCAUUUCCAAGUGUAAUAUGAUUAAAAUAAACUCUUAGUGUGCUGGGCUCAUAAAUCUUGACAAACCAGU